rnacentral:rRNA from 1 species
GCCAGCAGCCAUAUCAUCCUGCAGCUCAUAACUGGCAGCCCUCUGAAGCUAUGCAGGUGUGAGCCCGGUCAGUACCUGGACGGUAGACCUCCUGGGAAAAAACUAUGGUUGCUGCUGGAA